rnacentral:rRNA from 1 species
ACGAACGCUGGCGGCGUGCUUAACACAUGCAAGUCGAACGGAAAGGCCCUGCUUUUGUGGGGUGCUCGAGUGGCGAACGGGUGAGUAACACGUGAGUAACCUGCCCUUGACUUUGGGAUAACUUCAGGAAACUGGGGCUAAUACCGGAUAGGAGCUCCUGCUGCAUGGUGGGGGUUGGAAAGUUUCGGCGGUUGGGGAUGGACUCGCGGCUUAUCAGCUUGUUGGUGGGGUAGUGACUUACCAAGGCUUUGACGGGUAGCCGGCCUGAGAGGGUGACCGGCCACAUUGGGACUGAGAUACGGCCCAGACUGCUACGGGAGGCAGCAGUGGGGAAUAUUGCACAAUGGGCGGAAGCCUGAUGCAGCAACGCCGCGUGCGGGAUGACGGCCUUCGGGUUGUAAACCGCUUUCGCCUGUGACGAAGCGUGAGUGACGGUAAUGGGUAAAGAAGCACCGGCUAACUACGUG